CCCUUAGAUGUUCUGGGCCGCACGCGCGUUACACUGAUGCAUUCAACGAGCUUAUAACCUUGGCCGAGAGGCCUGGGCAAUCUUGUUAACGUGCAUCGUGAUAGGGAUAGAUUAUUGAAAUUAUUAAUCUUGAACGAGGAGUUCCUAGUAAACGCAGAUCAUCAAUCUGCAUUGAUUACGUCCCUGCCCUUUGUACACACCGCCCGUCGCACCUACCGAUUGGAUGGUCCGGUGAAGCCUCGGGAUUGUGGUUCUUGCCGCUUUAUUGUGGCGUGACCGCGAGAACUUGCCUAAACCUUAUCAUCUAGAGGAAGGUGAAGUCGUAACA
rnacentral:rRNA from 1 species